UAAGUUGCCUCCUAGCCCUAUGGAGCCCAGACCAAACCCCCCUUAUCCAUAUCUGUAAUAUCCCUCACUUUUAAAAAUUAUUAAUAAGGAUUUAUAUGUAAAUUGGAGGACCUAUAUGUAAAUAUAGAUAUUUCAAGGACUAAACUGUUAAGUUACAAAAAAAAAAAAAUAAAGAAAACCAAAAAUUUUGGUUUUAUCCCACCGCCUCCCACAUUCUCUGUUCCCGAAACAGAGAGAUGAGUUGAGAGAGGAGCUGUGGGGAGUGCGGAGAAGAAGAAGAGAAGUAGAGGAAGAAGAGGGAGAAGAGAAGAAGAAGAAGAAGAAGAGAGGAGGAUAGCUGCGGCAAGGCUGCAGCGAGGAGGUGUGUGGCGUUGGGGAGGAAAAGGGAAGAGGAGAAGAAGAGAAGGAGAAGAAGAAGGAAAAGAGAGGGAAGAGGGAGAGGAGCGAGAGGUGGCAGCAGCUAGGGUUGCAGCACCUCUGUUUCCUGCAGAUGGAAACAGAGGAGAGGUGUGGGGCGUUCGAAGAGGAGAAGAAGAAGAAGAGGAAGAGAAGAAGAAGAGGAAGCAGGAGAAGAGGUUGUGAUACCUCUAUUUCCUACAGAGGAAACAGAGGAGAGGGUGUGUGUGAUGUCGGGGAGGAGAAGGGAAGAAGAAGAGGAGAAGAAGAGAAGGGAAAGGAGGAGCUGCGGCUGCGGCAGUGGCAGCUGUAGUUGGAAGAGAAGGUGAGGAAAAAGAGAAGAAGAAGAAAGGAAGGAGAAGAAAGAACGAGAAGAAGAGGGAAAAGAGAGGGAAGAGGGAGAGGAGCGAGAGGUGGCAGCAGCUAGGGCUGCAGCACCUCUAUUUCCGCAGGUGGAAACAGAGGACAGGUGUGGGGCAUUCGAAGAGGAGAAGAAGAAGAAGAGGAAGAGAAGAAGAAGAGGAAGCAGGAGAACAGGUUUUGAUACCUCUGUUUCCUGCAGAGGAAACAGAGGAGAGGGUGUGUGUAACGCCGAGGAGGAGGAGGGAGGAAGAAGAGGAGAAGAAGAGAAGGGAAAGGAGGAGCUGCGGCUGCGACGGUGGCAGCUACAGCUGGAAGAGAAGGAGAGGAAGAGAAGGUGAGGAAGAAGAGAAGAAGAAGAAAGGAAGGAGAAGGAAGAGGAGAAGAGAAAGAAGCAGCUGUGGCUGCGGCUGUGGCAGCUGCAGCUGUGGCAGGGAAAGAGAAAGAGGAAGGAAGAAGGGAAGGAGAGGAAGAAGAGAAAGGGAAGAAGGGGCUGCGACUGUGGCGAUGGUAGCUACAGUUGGAAGAGAAGAAGGAGAGGAAGAUGAGCAGGGGAGGAAGAAGAGGCAGCGGUAGAGCAGCUGGGAAAGAAGAGAAGGAACGGAAGAAGAAGAGAAAGGAAAAGGGAAGAAGAGAGGAAGAGGAGAAGGGGAGGCAGCUACGGCAGUGGCAGCUGCAGCUGGAAGAGAAGGAGAGGAAACAGAGCAGGGGAGGAAGAAGCGGCUGCGGUCGUGGCUACGACUGUGGUAGUGGCAGCGGCGAUGGCUGCGACAGCUGUGUUUGAAAAAGAAAACAUAGGAAUGAGAGUAAGAGAGAGCAGGUGACUAUGCCUCUAUGUUCUGCAUGAGCUGCAGUUGUGGAGAAAAAAGAGAAGACAUAUAGAAAACAAAACAGGGAGAGAACACGGAGGAAAAGUAGAAGGAUUUGGGCUGACACCUUCCUUGGAUCUUCAAAUCAAAAUCAUUGAAAGGUCAGCUUGUCACUCUUUGAGAUGUUUGAAUUGGGCUGAGCAGUGGAGAGUUAUUCUGAAUUAUGGGCAAGUCUUGUUGGGUAUUAUUUUAUUAUUAUAUAAGCAUAUUUUGUAUGUAAUGAAAUGUUGUCGAUGAACCGAAAUGGAUAUACCUUGUAAAAGUGUUAGAAGAUCUCUCUUAUUUGGAAUUUCGGAAUGUUAAGUCUAGUUUACGAUGAUAUGAACUUGUGGUAAAUGGUUGGAGUUCUGAUUUAUAAAUUACUUAGCUUGUGGUUUUAUAAAUGUUGUUCAUAUUUGUUAAGUUGGCUUGGGUUGUCAUAAAUGUGAAUUAUCGAGUGAUGUGAUAUAUGAUUUAAACUGCACAGGUUUUAUAGAUGUGAAUUUGAUAGAAUGUUUUUCAGUAUCCCCAAAUGUGAGUUUGGAUCCUGGAUUGGUUUGUGUUGAAAAUUUUAAUAUCAUGGAUAUUUUGAGGGGCGUGACAAAGGUGGUAUCAGACCAUGAUUUGAGGAUCACUGAAAUAUUUGAUAUAUUGACGUGCAAAAUAUAUUGAGGUCUAGUGAACUAUAGUGAUUGGUGGAAAUUUUCUUCGAUGUAUUUUAGGAAUCAAGGAUGAUGAGGUAAUUUGGUCCUCCUACUUUCUCUGGUUUUGAUUAAUUAAGUGGGAUGAAAGGGGUAAUCGGGGAUAUUGAAUCAGAGUGGCGUAGCAGAAGCAUGGUGCACCUAAUUUCAUUGGUGGUAGAAAAAGGGAUGAUGCAAACGGAGAAGAUAUUUGAUGUACAAAAUUGUUCUGAUGAUCGAAAGAUUUCUUUUGCCACCUUAUAUUGGAAGUAGAGGCUGAUCAUUAAUGGAAACAAUGAAAAGAAUUUUUGAAGAUCAGUGGCAAGAAUGAUAAGGACAAGUUUACCAAUAAAAAUAUGAUUAAAAAUGAAUCAGAAAGUAAUAACAAGAAGAUCAAGACAUUUGGAUUUGAAAUGGGAAGUCACCAUAAAAGACUCAAUCACGUGUGAAUUGCAAGUUAAAUUAUAACACAAGUUUGUGUUUUCGGGUGACUAGAGUCUAUUUUGCUUAUGGAAAGUUGGAUCAUGAAAUAAAAGACUGUCCAUUGAACAAGAAGAAAGAGUCACUGCCUCUUAAAUCAUCAGCCCAUGUCAGAGUGUAUGCUAUCAUUCAAUAUGAUUCUAAAACUUCUGAAUUAGUGAUCGAAGGUAUUAUGCAUGUUUUUGAAAGAAUGCAAAUAUUUGUUUGACCAUGGUUCCUAUCUACGAUUUGAUUUGUAACAUGUUGCUUAUCACUUGGGCAUUCAACCUAGACCACUGCAUUAUGUGAUAUAUAUAAAAUAUGAUCAUUGGAGAUUCUUUGAUAACGAACUUGAAUCUGGUCCUCUUGUCUGAUUUUUAUUGGAGAACUUGAACUUUUGCUGAUUUAGUUCUCCUAGAGAUUUAGAACUUUGAUAUUAUACUUGGUAUGGAUUGACUAUCUUCUUAUCAUACCAGUAUAGAUUAUUAUAUAACAAAUGAUCACUUUUUGCAUAUUUGUUCAGCUGAUCUUUUAUUUUGAGAGUAUUGGACAUGAUUUAUCUCAUUGCCUAAUGUAUCCCAGGAUGAAUUGCACGAAUUACCUCCAAAACGUGACUUUGCUUUUGAUUUGGUCAUUGGGACAAUCCCAAUAUCUAAGCCUCUCUACAGAAUGACAUCAUUUGAGUAAAUGAAAUUAGAAAAAGCAACUACAAGGACUAUUAAAUAAGGAUUUUAUUUGGUUUAAUAUUUCAUCAUGGGGUGUUCCAGGGUUUGUUAAAAAGAAGGAUGGAACAUUAAGGCUUUGUAUUGAUUAUAGAUAGUUGAAUCAGGUGACUAUCAAAAACGAAUAUUUUCUGAAGUAACGACUUGCUUGAUAAACUGCAGGGUGCGUAAGUAUUUUUAGAAAUUGAUUAAAGGUCGGGUUACCGUCUAUUGAGGAUCAAGGAGGAGAAUAUUUCAGUCAUUCUUGGAUAAUUGUAUCAUUAUAUUGUAUUGAUGAAAUUAUUUGAGAGCAAGAGGAGGAAAUAAAGAUAUCAUAAUCCUCAUCCUUUCAUCAAUUGAGCUAUGAUCAAUUUAGAGGACUAAAUUUUCUUUUAAGGAGGGGAGAGUGUAAUAUCCCUCAUUUUUGAAAAUUAUUAAUAUGGAUUUUUAUAUAAAUUGGAGGACCUAUAUGUAAAUAUAGAAAUUUCAAGGACUAAAGUGUUAAGUUGCAAAAAGAAAAAAAUAAAGAAAACCAAAAAUUUCGGUUUUAUCCCACCGCCUCCCACGUUCUCUGUUCCCGAAACAGAGAGAUGAGCUGAGAGAGGAGCUGUGGGGCGUGCGGAGAAGAAGAAGAGAAGUAGAGGAAGAAGAGGGAGAAGAGAAGAAGAAGAAGAAGAAGAGAGGAGGAUAGCUGCGGCAAGGCUGCAGUGAGGAGGUGUGUGGCGUUGGGGAGGAAAAGGGAAGAGGAGAAGAAGAGAAGGAGAAGAAGAGGGAAAAGAGAGGGAAGAGGGAGAGGAGCGAGAGGUGGCAGCAGCUAGGGCUGCAACACCUCUAUUUCCUGCAGAUGGAAAUAGAGGAGAGGUGUGGGGCGUUCGAAGAGGAGAAGAAGAAGAAGAGGAAGAGAAGAAGAAGAGGAAGCAGGAGAAGAGGUUGUGAUACCUCUGUUUCCUGCAGAGGAAACAAAGGAGAGGGUGUGUGUGACGUUGGGGAGGAGAAGGGAAGAAGAAGAGGAGAAGAAGAGAAGGGAAAUGAGGAGCUGCGGCUGCGGCGGUGGCAGCUGCAACUAGAAGAGAAGGUGAGGAAAAAGAGAAGAAGAAGAAAGGAAGGAGAAGGAAGAAGGAGAAGAAGAGGGAAAAGAGAGGGAAGAGGGAGAGGAGCGAGAGGUGGCAGCAGCUAGGGCUGCAGCACCUCUAUUUCCGCAGGUGGAAACAGAGGAGAGGUGUGAGGCAUUCGAAGAGGAGAAGAAGAAGAAGAGGAAGAGAAGAAGAAGAGGAAGCAGGAGAACAGGUUUUGAUACCUCUAUUUCCUGCAGAGGAAAUAGAGGAGAGGGUGUGUGUGACGCUGGAGAGGAGGAGGUAAGAAGAAGAGGAGAAGAAGAGAAGGGAAAGGAGGAGCUGCGGCUGCGGCGGUGGCAGCUGCAGCUGGAAGAGAAGGAGAGGAAGAGAAGGUGAGGAAGAAGAGAAGAAGAAGAAAGGAAGGAGAAGGAAGAGGAGAAGGGAAAGAAGCAGCUGCGGCUGCGGCAGCUGCAACUGUGGCAGGGAAAGAGGAAGAGGAUGGAAGAAGGGAAGGAGAGGAAGAAGAGAAGGGGAAGAAGGGGCUGCAGCUGCGGCGAUGGUAGCUGCAGUUGGAAGAGAAGAAGGAGAGGAAGAUGAGCAGGGGAGAAAGAAGAGGCAGCGGCAGUGCAGCUGGGAAAGAAGAGAAGGAAAGGAAGAAGAAGAGAAAGGAAAAGGGAAGAAGAGAGGAAGAGGAGAAGGGGAGGCAGCUACGGCAGUGGCAUCUGCAGCUAGAAGAGAAGGAGAGGAAACAGAGCAGGGGAGGAAGAAGAGGCUGCGGUCAUGGCUACGACUGUGGUAGUGGCAGCGGCGAUGGCUGCGACAGCUGUGUUUGAAAAAGAAAACAUAGGAAUAAGAGUAAGAGAGAGCAGGUGACUAUGCCUCUAUGUUCUGCAUGAGCUGUAGUUGUGGAGGAAAAAGAGAAGACAUAUAGAAAACAAAACAGGGAGAGAACACGGAGGAAAAGUAGAAGGAUUUGGGCUGACACCUUUGGAUCUUCAGAUCAAAAUCAUUGAAAGGCAUGUUUCCCAAUCGUUUCUCCUGUUAUUGUUCUAAUCUUUCCUAUUGCAAGUGUCCUGAUCUUUCCUUACUGCAAUUUUAUCUCUACAUUUGCUUUGAAUAUGAGGAACAUUAAAUUGUUCUAGCUUUGCAUUUGAUAUAUCUCUUGUUUAGACGUAACGAUUCGAAUCUGUGCAACUUCUGAGAUUCUGACCUUUCUACCUUGUUAUGGUUAUAACUUCAUGUAUUGACCUCUGAUUGGAACAAAACUUAUUUGAUCAGAAUAUAGACUCAUAAACCUAUCUUUUGAUAGCUUUCUUGAGUAUAUUGGAGCACAAUUGAUGGUUUGAAUUAUUUGUUCAAUCUGCCUCUUGAAUUCUACUAUAAAUCGAGCUUUAGUCGAUUUCACAUAUUCUGGUUUCAUUCCUUUGGAAAUUAAUUUGUAUCGUAAUGUUUCAUAAAAGCACAUGUACAUUUCGUUGUUCCGUAUGUGCUUCCGAUAUGUCCCAAUUUAUUAUUCACAAUACCCUUUUGUACUCUGGUGUUUGUGGGAUUAUUUGGACCUUUGCCAGAAAUGGUAAAGGGUAUGUGCUUAGAGCCCGCGAUGCUCUAGAUUAUGUUUGGUGGUCAUUCAGAAAUGAAUAGAUCAUAUUAUGUUUGGAAUCCCACUUCACCUUCUAUCUGUUUGAUAUGAAAUUCAGAGUCGACCUAGCACUUGGGUAGGGUGAGAGGGCUCGAGUAGGAAAGGGCUACCCGUGGAUGGGGUCGAGAACUCAUCACGGCGUGGAGCCACCACUAAGUUAAACCUCACAUGCACUAUGCUAGGGUAUGACGUCUGAUCUUCUAUUUCGUAUUCGUUCUUUGAUAUGCUUCGAAAUGGUCCAUAUGCCAUUGAUAUGAUCCGAAAUGUUUCAUUGUUCAUUGAUAUGCUCUGAAACAUUUCAUACGCCUUUGAUAUGCUCUGAAAUAUUUCAUUUGUUAUUGUUACGCUUCGAAAUAUUCCAUAUGUCAUUGAUAUGCUCCGGAACAUUUCAUACACUAUUGAUAUGCUCCAAUUACUCUGUGCUCAAUUUGCUAUGAACUGAUAUAUUCUGAAAUGUCAUAUUUGCCAUUAAUAUGCUCCGGAUCAUCUCAUAAGCUAUUGAUAUGCUACAAUUACUCUAUGCUCCAUUUGUUAUGAACCAAAUAUGUUAUGAAUGAAAUGACAUUUGCGAUUCUGUAUCUAAUGAGAUGAUAUCCUUGAAUCUCUUAGAUUCUGUCUUGCAUUGUGAUAUCUUGUUUGUUUGAAACUGUCCCUUCUGGUGCUAUAUAUGCUUUGUUACUUGCUGAGCUGUUUUUAGCUCAUUCUGUUGUUAUAUAAAUCUUUCAGGUCAGCUUGUCACUCUUUGAGAUGUUUGAAUUGGGCUGAGGCAGUGGAUAGCUAUUCUGAAUUAUGGGCAAGUCUUGUUGGGUAUUAUGUUAUUGUUGUAUAAGCAUAUUUUGUAUGUAAUGAAAUGUUGUCGAUGAACCGAAAUGGAUAUACCUUGUAAAAGUGUUAGAAGAUCUCUCUUAUUUGGAAUUUCAGAAUGUUAAGUCUAGUUUACGAUGAUAUGAACUUGUGGUAAAUGGUUGGAGUUCUGAUUGUAUAAAUUACUUAGCUUGUGGUUUUAUAAAUGUUGUUCAUAUUUGUUAA